rnacentral:lncRNA from 1 species
CAUUGGUGGAGUGAGUGGUGGCCACAAUGGGUCAAGUCACACCCUGUCAUCCCUUUCGAGUUCCAACCAGCAUUAUUAAGAGGCUUUCGAAUUCUUAUCUAUUCCUGGUAGUACAGACACCAAAGCAAAGGGGGUGUCAGGGCUCCGUUCCUUCGCCUCCACGCUGCCUCUCAGCCGUGACCGGCCUCUCCCCUCUUAAUGCCAUCGUAUGCUCUCCUCACCCACCUUGCACACAUCCCUAUUCUCUCACUGACAUCUUCUCCCAGUCUUCCCCUCCUCUCACACUUCACCUACUCCUUUGCCACCAUUAGUACCUGUGUAAAGAGUGUGAGAGAGAGCAUCUACGCUUUGCUUUGCUUUGCCUCCUCUUGGAUGGAGCAAUGAGUUGGCAUCACAGUUGACACCAAGCUUUGUUUUUUUGCCAGCUUUGUGAGAGUUUUGUUAGGAGGUUUAACAUCUAUCUCUCUCUCUCUCUCUGUCACAUGCCUUCUUUUUUUUUAUUAAUGACUCUGAGUGGAGAGGGGCGACAUGUGAGGAGGCUCUCUGUAUCUCUUUCCUUGGCUCUCUCUCCAAUCCCAUACGCCUAUCCCCUCGCAGCCUUUGAAGGGGCCAGCCCAACUUUAAAAAGAGUGAGGUAUUUGUGCUGCUGCACACUGAAACAAGGUGGGAAUAGGAUGCGCUGUCCCUCUUGUGGGACACAACUCGAUGCCUGGCCAUCCACCUGGUGAGGGACCAACUCCCAGCACUCUUGUCUGAUGCUGGUGGGCUCAGCACCAAGUGGCAAGGAUUCAGGCAGCAGGCAUGACCCUUGGUGUGGGAGGUACAGAAGAUUGAUUCAAUUGUCUGCAGAGUAACUUAUUGUGAUUGUCCCUGUCCUUGGCAAGAUAGUAUGUAUCUUGGUGGCAUCAAGCCAUCAAGGCAAGACCUGGUUAGAAGGGAACUCCAUUAAAUGGUGUUUGCAAGCUAUCAAUUACGCAAUUAAGAUUCCAAAAUGAUACAGUGUUCUUUUCGGCACUUGGAGACUUCAUAAGCAAGCAGAAGGUUAUGGAGAUUUACAUGUAUAUGUAGAAGGAAACUGGAUUGCAGAAUCUGCAUCCCUGCAGGGGAUAGCAUUUAUUUGGAGCACAAAUUUAUCCAAAAGGCCUCGUGAAGUGUUUAUCUGAAAACAGGGGGAAGAAAUCCUGUAAGUUCCAUUAUGAAGCCCCCUACAUUUGCAGCCUCCUGUAGUUGGAUGCUAAGACAUGUAUAUUUCUUGUACGAGUAUGUUGGCAAUUUCACAACUAGAGUUAAUUUAAUAACUCGAAGUCUAUAGGUUUUGAGUAAUUUUGAGU